rnacentral:rRNA from 1 species
AACGAACGCUGGCGGCAUGCCUAACACAUGCAAGUCGAACGACACCUUCGGGUCUAGUUGCUCACGGGUGCGUAACGCGUGGGAACCUUCCCGUAUGCUCGGAAUUACUCCCCGAAAGGGGUGCUAAUACCGGAUAAUGUCUUCUGACCAAAGAUUGAUCGACGUUGGAUGGGCCGGCGUUGGUUUAGCUAGUUGGUAGUGUAAAAGCCUACCAAGGCGACGAUCCAUAGCUGGUCUGAGAGGAUGGUCAGCCACACUGGGACUGAGACACGGCCCAGAAUCCUACGGGAGGGAGCAGUGGGGGAUAUUGGAAAAUGGGCGAAAGGCUGAUGCAGCAAUGCCGGGUGAGUGAUGAAGGCCUGAGAGUUGUAAAGCUCUUUUACACGGGAUGAUAAUGACAGUACCGAGAGAAUAAGCACCGGCUAACUCCGUG